AAGAAAGAAUAAUUGAUACGGAUGAUGUUGUUGGUGAGAAGUUUAAUUUGGGAAGGAAGAUUGGGAGAGGGAGCUUUCAGUGAAGUUUAUGCAGGUGUUAAUCUUUUAAGCGAGGAAGAAGUAGCUAUUAAGCUGUAACCUGUUACAACGGAGCAUCCUCAGCUGUAUCAUGAAUCAGAAAUAUAUAAACGUCUCCAAGGAGGAGUGGGAAUACCAAUCCUCAAGUGGUUUGGAGUUGAGAGGGGGUACAAUAUAAUGGUUAUUGACCUUCUUGGACCAAACCUCCAAGAACUUCUGGACAGAUGUGGUGGAACGUUCAGCUUGAAGACAGUUUUAAUGCUUGCAAAUCAA